UAAGGUGGCAUUUUUCAGUCCUGGAGACGCACGCUGUUGUUUUUCCAGCUUCACAGAUGUGGAAACUGAAGAACAGAGAGAUUAAGCUGGCGUUCCGAGUAAACGGUGGGGCUGGGUUGCGAAUCCUCUUCCUCCUUAGGCUAAAGUCUGUUUUCUUUUCGUUUACCACCAACGUUUUUUGGGAGCUGGUGGCACAGUGAUAAGGCCCUGACGAGUAGGGAGCACCUCAUCACUGCCGCAUACGUGCAAGCUUUGGCGCUUAAAGCUCACAGACCCACUUUCAUAACCACUUUCUUCACGGUGGGCUUAGCGGUGGAGACCACGGGCUUUAUGGACCGCUGAAUCUGGAGACAGGUCCUGGGUCUGUUAUUGACUGUGUGACGCUCUGAAUAAGUCAUGUUUCCCAUCGUGAGACUUCGUUCCUCGUCUGUAAAGUGGGAAUAGUAAUAUCUGUUUCAUAGGAUCACACACUCCUAUGUUGCAGGGAUGUCUGAGGACAAAUGGGAAUUCUCACUGACUUCCAAGACUACCCUGGGGCAGAUAAGGAAGUUGAUGCUUCGGAAGCUUAAGGGACACCAUACCCUCUGCUCCAGAAACUGAGAGUGUGGCUGUAGUCUUCGCUAAGAAUGCCCUUAUAUGACAGCGCCUGGCACACAGUAGGCGGUCAAUAGAUAUUUACUGCAUGAACAAAUAAUAAAGGUAUGUUAUAACCCCC